UAAGUCUACAGAAGGGAGCAAGAGUAGUCAGAAAAGCAGGAAGUAAACUCUACCGCUAUCGAUCACUACACUAUCAUGCUCUACACUAACCAACUGUAGUAAAUGUCAAAUCUGACCCAAUCCAAUCGGGACUGUAAGCAUACCCGUCCCCGGGACUGUGAAUACACCCGUCCCUGCCCCGUUGCGACUAUCAGGCUCUAUCCACACUAACUGGUCCGUGGAGAGCAAGUCCAACUGGCAUGAGCGACACCAACGCGAAAGCACAAAGCCUGACUCCGGAGUGGCACUCGUGGGCGCUACCCAACCGAGUAUGCAGCGUAUCUCUGUCGAGCUCAAUCAGGCUCUGAAAAGCCAAAGUCAAGUAACCAACUCAAACUGGUCUAAUAACCAACAGGUAACGUGCCCUCAGCACAAUCUGAUGCCAAAAAGGCGAUACGGGUCCACCGUCAAUCCUGACGGCACCCAACAGUCCGGAACAACCUGAACGACCCUGUAAAAAUCCACUCGGCACACCAGCACGAGCGUAAAUAUAUUCUAAACUACCUGAAGUACUCGUCUCGAAGAUACUGUGACAGUACAAUUUUAUAACGGCUCCUAGAGCUAAAUCAGGCAGUUUAAACAUGUGACAGGUCCAAAUCGCAGGUUUUCUCCUAAUUCAAAUUCCAAGUCCAACAUGUAUAAACUACUCAAUUUAAUACCACACGCUCCAAAUUCAGAUUUGCUAUCUAUAACAAAAUUCAUGAAUUCGAGCUAGAAUAGACUAUACUAAAAUUGAAUUUUACACAUGUCGACGAUUAGAACUUGGGAGUCAAAACCGAUGUAACCCACCUCGAUCGCUAAACCCCGGCAGCGAGGAGGUCACCAAAAAUCCCCAAAUCCACUGGAAAAACCAGGGUGUCUAGCUCAAGUUCGAAAUCGCCCUGCACACAUCGCAACGAAGAACUCCAACUCAAAUUCUGUCCGAAACACAGCAACAGAGGAGAACAUAAUUUCGACCCAGCUAACCUUCAACAAAUCCAGCAAAUAAGGGCUUCAUGGAUUCCUCUCGAAGUCCUGAAUCCAACGAACCAAGUCUCGUCGAAAUCCGACGUUCCUACGCCGAGUACGAGCCGAAACACUGAUGGUCGACGCUGAAAAUCAGCACGCGAGCUCAAAACCGUGCGUUCAAGUAAUCCAAGGAGGAAAGUUAGGUACCCACCUCGACAGCGAAUCCAGCGCCGGUGCGACGUCGAGGACGGCGAAAACCACGCCCUCGCUCGAACUCCUCGCGAUGCUGCGACUGCAACCGUAUCCUCGAACGGCUCCGCGGCGCGAUGUCGACGUUGAAUCCGAGCUUCGCGGCUACUCCCCCAAGCUCCACCUCGUGUGGUUCUCUACUUCACACUAAAGAGAGAAAGCAAAAGCAAAAUUAAUUAGAGCCACCCUCAAGCAGAUAAGCAUGCAUGGGGGAGUGCACGUGGCAUCCAUAGCCACACUUAGUCUAGGUACUAAUAUAUAUAUAUAUAUAUAUAUAUAUAUAUAUAUAUAUAUAUAUAUAGAGAGAGAGAGAGAGAGAGAGAGAGAGAGAGGAUACUACAGCGACCCUUGCAACUGGUCGAAUAGAUCAUCGAUUCUCGGUAACGGGUACUUGUUGUUGAUUGUCACUUUGUUCAACUCGCGAUAAUCCACGCAGAGUCGAAGUGUGCCAUCGUUUUUCUUUACAAAUAGCACUGGAGCUCCCCACAGUGACACGCUCAGCCUCACAAAGCCUUUAUCGAGCAAGUCUUGCAACUGAGCUUUCAACUCUACUAGCUGGUGUCAUUGUAUACGGAGCCUUCGAGAUUGGCGCCGCCCCGGGAAUCAAAUCAAUGACGAACUCGAUCUCCCGGUCCGGUGGCAAUCCAGGUAACUCGAUCUCCUGGUCCGGUGGCAAUCCUAGGUCCACCCAAUACUUUCACUUUCAUUGCUCUGAUACCACUCUAUCUGUCACGCCCCACGACCGUCAAUUUUGUCUGUUCGGACACAUGCAUAGACGCCGAACGAACAGAACCUCCUCUGUCCGUCCAAGGCACAACAACCACAACAUGUAUAACAAAUUCACCUAGGAAGAAUUUCGAUAUAUAUGGCUUGCACAAGGGCAAGCAACAGAAGCAAGUGAAAGUAAACUAACUAUUACAUCCAUGCAUUGUGUCUUGAUUACAUUAAACCAAAUACAAACUUUUACAUAACCAUUCCAUUACAUACAUGAUCUUUACAUUCAUUUCCAAAAUACAUCUUUUCAUUACAUGUUCUUUACAUCUCUUUUCAUCAUAAGAUGAAAUACUAAAUAGUGCAUCCAUACUCGGGGAAGUCCACUACCUAGGGCGCGAUGCCCUUGCCGCGAUCCUCGACUGCCCCGCUCGCGCUAGGAUUUGCAAGGUUAGUAGGGUGAGAACUACUAAAAGUUCCCAGCGGGUUCGGCCGUGGACCCCACCAACUCACCCACUAGGUCUACUCAGGCAUAUGUAGGAAAAGAAAGAAUAGAUAGCAAACCAUAAUAAUACUACUACAAUGCCUGUACAAGAACAGAACAACAAGUAAUAUACACAUGAUGCACGUAUUUCUCUUUUACCUUUACCUUUACCCAAUCCGCUUGGUUAACCAUUUGGUUAAACCCAACUCACCAAAGCAAAUCCCUUUUGUCGGGGAGAAUACCGCUACAACCCAACGAGACCAUCUGCUGGGGAGAAUUCCACCACCGCCCAGUUGAUGACAACUCCAGAGCUCACCACUUGAGGUGGAGCGACCACCCUCAAGCGUUCAGACUACCUGUGAGUACAAUCUAAUCCUCAACUUGGAGGAUACUAUGUCACUAUUGCCACAAAGUUCACAUAGUUUCUUUGCCUAGCAUUCAUAAUUCUUGAUGCUAUUUAAUCCGUCUAGUCACAAUGUCACCUUAUUUACUAUUGUGUCGUAGUCCAAUACUUCGUUCAUACAUUCAUAGGGUUUCUAUGUCAUGGUCCUUUAUCAUUUCACAUAUGUUCUACAUUGAAAGCAUACAAGAGAUCCCACAUCUUGCCACAUAUCAUUUUACUCUACUCUACAUAGCUGUGUUCUUAAUAGCACAGAGCCCUAAGUCGUUUUCGAUGACUAAACUUUUGAAUUGACAAUCAGCUCCGUUAGACUUAGAUCUAGCAUAUUUGAAGUAUUUAGAAAAUAAAUUUUGCAAUUUUCAAUAUCAUUUACCUAAUGAUCAAAAGGAUUCAAAAUUAAAGGCUGAAAAUAAAAAUCUCACAAAGAGUGGUGAUAUAGUACUAAAAUUUUCGAUGAGAGAUAUUGAUCAUUAGGUAGUAUAAAAAAUAAAAAUCUCACAAAAAGUUGUAGAUAGUAUAAAAAAUUUUUAUCAAAGUUUUAUCUGAUUUGGAGAUUUUUACACUGUUAAACUUGAAAACGACAGACAUCAACUAUUAAAAAUUAUUAAUUUUGAACCCCUUUGGUCGUUAGGUAAAUGAUAUCAAAAAAUCACAAAAUUUAUUUUCUAAAUACUUCAAACAUGCUAGAUCAAAUCUAAUGGAGCCGAUUAUCGAUUCAGAAGUUUAACGGCUUAGGAGCACGGAGCACAACAAUCCUACUAUAUAUAUACAUACAUAUAUAUAUAUAUAUAUAUGUAUAUAUAUAUAUAUAUAUAUAUAUAUAUAUAUACAUAUGUAUAUAUAUGUAUAUAUAUAUAUGUAUAUGUAUAUAUAUACAUAUAUGUAUAUGUAUAUAUAUACAUAUAUAUAUAUGUAUAUAUAUAUAUAUACAUAUAUGUAUAUAUAUACAUAUACAUAUAUGUAUAUAUAUAUAUAUACAUAUAUGUAUAUACAUAUAUAUACAUAUGUAUAUAUAUAUAUAUAUAUCCCCUAAACUUAGGUCCACGUGGUAAGUUAGGCAUAAUUUGAGGCAUGUGGACCCCAGCUGUCAGUACUAAUUCCCAAUAUUAAUUGCUUAGUAGCAUAAUUUUCUUUGUUGAGAUUUUUUUGAAAUUCCUUUUUUUACAAUGGACGAGACUCUUCCCAAAACCGUCGCCUCCACUUCCAAUUAAGGCGUUGAGACCGUUCAUGGCAGCAAUAGGAACAGUCACGCUUCUCUCUCUACUUCAAAUAGGAACGACCUCUCUCCUUCCCCGCCUUCCUCACACCCCUGCUUCACUGCCUUUUCCUCUCCCCUCGCUCUUCCCAUACCUCCUCAUGGCCUCAUCCCUCGCCCUCUCUGUCGCCUGCCAUUAUCUCUGCCCGCCACUCUGUAUCGAUUCACGAACUUUGAGAUUUCUAUUUGAUAGGUGAUGAAACCAAACAACGAUGAUGCAGUGGCGACGCCGGCAGCAACUUGCAGCAGCACGAAAGAGGAUGUGACGGCAGCAGCAAUAGUUGUGGGAUGUGGUGGCGGCGCCAGAGUAGAAGACAGAGGUGGGGACAACGGUAGUGGUGUGCAGCGGCAGAGUAGGAGGAGGCAGUGGCAUCCAUACGAGAGUGAUCACGGUAACUAUGCGGGGAUUUAACAUGGUAACUAUGCGGGGAUUUAACACGGGUAACUAUCCAUACAGAGCAGGAUCCUCUGCUUUUGGAGAUCUUCUUUAUGCUAAUUGAACUAAUACUUAAAAAAUUGCUUAACUAAGUUAUUUGAGGAUAGUGGUAGUUCAAAUUUAUUACUAGAUUCUAUAAUUAUUAUAGAAUACUAACUUUUGGCUGUACUAUGCGCUUGAUUAUUUUGGAUUUGCGUGUGCCAUAUGGUUGGUUAUUAUCGAUUUUCUAAGGGCUGUAGUUUUUUGUGCUUCGCUCUCCGGUGAGCAACGGCGGCAGCAACCCCCCAACGGCCUCUUAUGCAUCCUCAAUAAGGAUGGCGCUAGCUCCAUCAUCACCCACCGCCCCUUCCUUGAUGCCUUUAACUUCUUCAAUCCUCCUCACGUCCCUAAUGAUGAAGAAGAAAUCAAUGAGUAUAAUAUAAGCCAAAUUCUUACUACUAUAUUAGCGCAGUCUACAAAAUAUUAAAGAAAAAAAUUAGUUAUUUAUAUAUUUUUUUUCCUAACCAUUGCUUUAACAGUUGCACAACCAUAUAGAGCAGGGCUAUGAUAUUAGGCAAAUUCUUUGCUUAGAUAAUUAAUCAUAUAUUUAGUAUCAUGCUUUUUUAAAAAAAUUAUUUAUAGUAAACUGAAUCAUCUGUUUUUAUUUGCUUGAAUAUUCGCAUAUUCCUAGAGAAAAAUUAGACACAAAUUGGUUCGACACUAUUAUUCAUAUUGCAGAUUUUGGAUGCAGAUUCUAAGAUAUUAUAUUGAUUCACUGGAAUUCUAAUCUACAGGUAAACUAUAAGAGGCAAGAUAAUUUCACAUAUUUGUUUCAUGGUUCACGAGAGAGGUCGUUCAAGCGCAAAAUUUCUAUAGCAUAGAAGUGGGUGACGAAGAUAUUAUAUACCAUUUUUGGCCUAUGAAUACAUUUAGUAAUAGUGUAUUUGCUAAUUUUUAUUAUUAACUGAGCAUUCAGUAUAACCAUGUGCACUAAUUAAGUAAUUUUCAUUUUUUUUGAUUUGUUUAUUAAAAAUAAAUGAAGAUAUUGCAUGUGCACUAAUUAACUCAUAUAUAACCAUGUCACACUCUUAGUAGACAAUCAGGUAAGAAGAGUAAAGUAGGUUGCACUCAUUGGUUUUAGAUUUUGCUAUUAUGAAAUUAUUGCUUUAAAUCAUUCUAAUGUAUGUUAGAAUAGAUGGCAUUUUACCUUUUGUUAGAAGGAUGCCACAAAAUGAUUGAUUAUUAGUCAAAUUAAAUCCUUAAAUUGUGUUGCUUUAUGAUCGAUUACCAAAACAUUUUUUGUUCUAAAAAGAAAAGGAAUAUGUUUAGUCAGUACAUUCAUAUUUAUUUAAAUAUAGUCAAGAAUUAUUUUUGCAUUACUUUAGAUUUUAUUGAAGUUAAACUACAUGGCAGUAGAGCAAGAAUUCUACAACCAUUGCAAGGAAUGUGAAGGGAAGGAUGCAAUCAUAAAGUAAUUGGUUGUUGCUACUUAUGCAUCCAAUAUAACUAACUCUAAGGUGUUAUAACUUCUUUUAUUCUUCACUUGAUUCUACGAAAAGAGGAUUGCUGAAUUACAAUAAAGAGAAAAAAACAUGAUAGUCUCCAAAUUAUAGAAAGACAUGAUAUUUCUAGAACAGAAGAUAAAUGCUGCUUAAUUCUAAAGGUUUAGAAUGUAGGCUUUACAAGUUUGUAUUUAUCUUUUCUUAUAGUCUUAUCACUUUUUUGAUUAAAUAAUUGAGUUUAAUCACAUAGAUUGUAGAAUGGAAAGAUCUUCUUUUGAAGUGUUUUAUCAACUUUUGUAGACUAUUUAAACAGAUGAUUCUCAUUGGAUAGCUAUAAUACUACUUUUUUUGAUAAAUUACAUAUUUCAGGCUUAUUUUUUAGACUUUAUGAUAAACGAUGGCAGAAUAAAAAUUUACUUUGAUAAUACCUAUCCGUUGCAACGCACGGGUAACUACACUAGUAUAUAUAUAUAGUGCGUCUGGUAUGCUUCUGGAAGUACGGAGCGCUCCGUGCUUCCAAGUCAUUUUCGAUGUUGGGACUUUCGAAUCGACGAUCAGCUCUGUUAGACUUGAUCUAGAGUAUUUUAAGUAUCUAGAAAAUAAAUUUUGCGAUAUUUUGAUAUCAUUUGCCUAGUGAUCAAAGUGGCUCAAAAUCAACGGCUGAAAAUAAAAAUCUUACAAAAUAUGAUGAUAUGAUAUUAAAAUUUUAGAUCAAAAAUAUUCAUCUUGUUUUAUAUAGUAUAAAAAAUUUCACGUGAUUUGGAUAUUUAUACACCGUUAAACUUGCAAACGAUUCACCGCGGCCAUUAAAAUUAUUAAUUUUGAGCCCCUUCGAUCACUAGGCAAAUGAUAUCAAAAAUCACAAAAUUUAUUUUCUAGGUAUUUCAAAUACUUUAGAUCAAGUUUAACGGAGCCGAUCGUCGAUUCAAAAGUCCCAACAUCGAAAACGAUUUAGAAGCUGUAAGGACUGAGACUUUUGCAGUGUAGCUAAACUCUCAGUUGACGAUAUUUUUGUGUGUAAUUUAAUUACAAUAGCACUCGUCAAGUUUCGGGUGAAAACGAGCUAAAACGGAAAUUCUACGCGAUUUCCAAGUUUCACUUAAAGUGAAUAGUAACUCGAUUUUUCGGAGAAAUCACGGUGGGAAGUUGGCUUCUGGCUCGUAUCGGACUCCGUUCCUAGCGGUCCAAUAGCUCGUUUCGAGUGGGAUCGUACGUGGAGGGGUGUCCGUGAAAGUUUUGAGGAGCCCAAGGAUCUAUCUAGAUUGUAUCUAUCACCUAGAGGGGGGUGAAUAGGUGAACGGCCAAAAAUCACAAAUCUCGAUGCAAUAAAAAUAAAUGCGGAAAAUAAAAAGCACACCGAGAUUUACGUGGGAAAACUCCAACUUGGAGAAAAACCCACGGGACCAACACGCGAAAAAAUAAUUCACUAAGAGAAAAGAUUACAAGGUGAUUGCCGACUCCACGGACUCUACCUCUCUUAACCUCCUAUGAAUCUCGCGCGAUCCUCCGGGUUGUCCACGCCCUCACGUUCGAAUCCAGCCGAAUCCACUGACGGCGACUCGAAUCCAUGAGCCCACGAUCCGAAUCCACGAACCGCCUUUCAAUUACGCCCGAAUCCACAGACGCCGUUCAUGUAAGAGCAUCAUAAUUAUGGUGAUCCUUCGCUUAAGGAGUAUCGUAGAAAACCAGGGAAUAGAAACUCCAAGCGAAGCGGAGAAUCCAAAUCGACAUAUAGAGAAUGCGAAACGAUAUCUCGAUUUGAUCUAAAGAGACUAAUUUUGUAGAAAAUAGGUUUAUAAGAAUGAAAAAUCUCGAAGCCUCUUAGGUUGUCAAAUCAUGUAUUCUUAUCAUGCUUAAUCAGUUAGAGAACCCCUAUAGCUUAUUUAUAGACUUUAGAAUCAAAAACGGAAGUAGGAUUUAGAAAGUUUCUUUCGCAAAAAUCAGCACCUUGUACCGGGAACAAGGAAAGCUGUCCAGGGUACAGCAUGACGAAGAUUUUCUGCCGAAGCUCUGUACCUGGACAGACUGCUUUUUGUUCCGGAACAGGGAUUGUACCGGUACAGCCAUGAUGGUUGUACUUGGACAUACACAUCAAACAGUCUGCGCAAACACUGAUGGCUGCUGUACCCUGGACAGAAAUCCUUGUACCGUACAACAAUGCAAUUUUUCGCUGAAAAUGCAUUGUUUCGGCUUCUACAAGCUCUUAGAAACUUUCUAAAUCAAUUACAACUUGAAAAUAUGAUUCUAAGAGAUCUAUAAAUAAGUAUGAACACCAUAAACAAGAUUUAAAGCUUACCUAAGGCAUCGUGAUUCAAGUUUUGCGUGUGUUUGCGUCCUUUCUGAUUCUUCGAAGUCUGGAUUCUAUCGAUCUUCAAUACGCCGCUUACCGGACUUCUUCAAGACUAUCCGACUCGACCCACCGAAACUUGCCAACACAUAGGAUCUAACAAUCUCCCCCUUUGGCAAUUCGUGACAAAAACACACACAAACCAACAAAAUUACAAUAGAAGAGAAAAACGAAGUCAAUGUCAUUACCAAAACAUCGAACCCCUCGCGUGUAAUUCCAAAUACAAUUUGAAAACUCAAAAUUAUAUCAAAACUCCUAAACAACUCUAUGACUUAGACGCAACUAGGAGUCUUGAAGUCUUGAUUUCCUGGCAAAACAAUUCAAUCUCAAAAUGAUUACGCACUAAAAUUCUUAUACCUUCUCCCCCUUUGUCACAUCUCCCCCUUUGUUCUUGAACUCAUCAUCCCUCGUGCUUCAUUCAAUGUGCCUUGUUCAUCCAUCCGCUCUCCUCUUUCAUCACGCUCCCUCUUUUUAUCAAAAAUUGCCAAAAAAGAAAGCAAAUAGAAAGAGAAAACAAACUAGAAAAACAUGAGAGUAGUCUAGUCAUCAGUUACAGGCCUAAAACAAAAGUAAAAACUAUACUACAGAAAGAUAAGCAAGCAAAUCUAAAAUAUCAUCCUAAAACAGCAAAUGCAGUGAAAGAAAGAGACUAAGCUCGAACGAAGAAAUCACUCCGUGUCCCUCAUCAUCAAUCAUCAUCAUCUCCUGCACCAGCUCUAGAACCUCCAGCCUCAGGAGCACACUCCAGACGGUGGAAUGAGAGGAUGUCGUGAAGAUGACCACUGAAUACAGGCAGAAGAUGGAGUAUGUUUCCCAAAUAUCACAUUGUCGACACCCCCAAUCUUAUCAUCAAUCUUUUGAUACUUAACUCAAACUUUUUGAUGCCGACUCAACUUUCCUUCCAAUGUUGUUUCACGCUUCUUCUUUAAUUUUCGCCAAAUCAUCCUUAACUGAUUCAACUCGUCGGCUCCCACCCGAACUAGAUCAAGUAUCAUAACUCCCUCGAGAUGUAGGCGGAGGAGCAGAGCUAGAAGCUGCUCUCGGGUGAGGUGGCUGGGGGUGCCAUAGUGCGUCAGAGUGUGGCACUUUGGUCUAAUGGAAUGACUUGAGAGUGCUAACAGACUCAGGCCCAAGUCACGGAGUCAAUAGCCCAAGCCAACAUCAUACUUGUCACAAGAUGUUACUACUCCAUUUGCUUGAAGAAUCCUCGUAACAGAACAGGAAAUGGAAGUAGAUCCCGUCGAGUGCACCCUGAAUCAACGUGUAUCAUCGCUUUGCCAAGAUCAGAAAUGAAAUGUUGAUGUUCAAUCCAUGAGCGUGCUCGGAUGACCCAGUAGAUAUAGCAAACACUAAUCUCUCCCAGCGGAUCCUCUUUGUCGCCGAUAGUUGGUUGAACAUUAUAGCUCAUACACAAUGAUAGCAAUGAUGACUCAGGUAAUAAAUCCUUGGAUUCAAUGUAACCAUGAGUCAUGUAAACACCAGCUUGCAUAUAGCUCCAAGAAUGAUAUUCAUGUGAGUUGAUGCUUAGAAUCCUCCUGAUGUAACACACUGGACCUUUUGCAAAUUUGUGGUUCGAGUGUCUGAGUUGUGUUCUGAGUAUUUCCAGAUUUUCUGGUAGUGUCGUUGACAGUGUUCCAGACCCAUGGCUCAUAUUCCGAGAUUUGAGUAUUUGAAGUAGCCCAAAGGUCACACAAAAAGUUGGACUUAGGCUGCUCUCGGAUUGCUGUUUUCUCGCUGUGUACCGGUACAAGCUGAUGGCUGUACCGGUACAGGUUGAUGGUUGUACCGGUACAGCCACCGGCUGUAUUGACCGGUACAAGCCGUUGAACCCCCAACCCGAGCCUCGGUUGUGAUGUUUUCGUAGGGCUUGUACCGGUACAGGGGCCCGUGUACCGGUAAUAAGUGGCAGAUUUUGAGCAGUUUCGAACUGCAGGGGUGUUUUUGCUAUUGUAGUAUCUAUAUAAUACCACCCACGCCCUUUGCUGAUCUCCCUGAGCACAGAGGACAAGUAGAGCCCUUCUCUUCUUCUCUUUUUGAUUUCCCUCCCCUUUUGCUUGAUUUGAUGGUUAUCCCCUCUUUUGCUUUUGUGACUUUCCACCAUGGGAGAAACUUGGGAGCUUGGAGUGAGCUUGUUGAGGUGAGAUCUUCGAUCCUUGGGGAUUGUGAACCUUGUUUGAGGCUUCUUGAGAGGUUAGUUGCUUACUAUUUUCCUUCUAUCAUGAAAUUUCAUGAAUUUUGUUUAGAAACCUAGAAAUGAGGAUUUAGGUUUUUUGGGUUUUUGAUCUAGGGCUUUCGGAGCUCAAUCGAUCGUUUUAGAACCUUCCCUUGGUUUGGUUGGAAGGGAUCUAGCUUCCAUUUGGAGCUUAAAAGGGAUUUUCUACACUUAGGUGAGAUUUAGCCAUCUUUUGCCUUUGGCCUUAUGGUUAAUGUUUGAUUUUCGGGUUGUUCGUUUCGUUGGGUAACCGCUCGUUUUGAUGCUUCUAGGGUACUAGGAGUCUUGUGGGGCACCUCCGUUCGGCGAAACGAAGGUUUUCGAUUUUGGUGGGUUUGGCCUCACCUAAGAUGAGAUAAACUUCUCAUAUGAGGUUUUAUUUAUCGUAAAGUGAAAACGCAUGUAUAUUCUUAUUGGAUAGAAUAUUUGAGAAUUUUAGAAUGCUUAAAUUGCACAUGUCAUAUACAAUGCAUAUUGGACCUCUAUAUAGUAGAGAGUCUUCAAUGUUGGCUAGGCCCUAUGGUUAGCAUUCUUACAUUUGAUUGAGAUCAUGUUGCAUAUGGUGCAUAUGGCAUAUAGAUUACACUCUGAGACUUAGAACGCAUGCUUGACAUGGUUGGACAAAUCGACAUUAAGUGACAUAGGCUAGAGUGUAUACAAAUAAAUAAGCUAAUGUCAUAAAGCGGCAUAGGCUUGAUGGAUAUGUAAAUUGCAUUACCUGUUAUUAUUAUGAGAAUUAUGCCAAGUUGAUAGUUGCAUUGGAUAGAAUAAGCUAACGUAACAAGAAGACAUAGAAGGUGAAAUGUGCUUAGAUUAUAGCAAGUUUAAGUGUCAUAAAAGAGGCACUAAACAUAGUGAAUUGGGAACUUCACCUUGAGAUUUGGACUUAGUAAAGCUAAGUCAUUGAUAUCGAAAUUAUUGAACGGUUUAAACCUUCACAUUUGAGACAUAGUACUAGACCUUUGGUUCUAGUGACUAUACCAUGUUAGAGACAUGAUGAUUGGGUACUUGAGGUUUUGACCAUGCUGCUUGCCAUUUUUGCUCAUUCGCACAUGCUUGUACGGUUGCUCCCUACAAGCCGGCACUUCCCGGAGUUAGCACUACGCGACAUAUGCUCCAGUCGUGCGUAUUAAAAAGCUUACGGGGUCGAGUGGGACAGACACAUUCCAAGAGCAGGAAUGUUGGGCUACCACAGGCACUUAGGCGGCACAACCGGACUACACCCGUGUAGAUCCUGAAUGAGAUUGAACCAGAAUAUUAAACAACAAGUUGAUAAUCACUACUAGACAGGUCAUAGUAGUUGGAUUCUUGACAUCCUACGGCAUAGGUUGGACAUUGAGAUUCAUAGGAUACUUGACGUAUCGCUUAUGGCAUCGUAGUGUACUUGGAUUGCCAGGAUAGUACAUACUGGAUAUGUAGUUGGCUUUGAGACAUAUUAUUAUACUUCAUAUAUUACUUGUUGCAUCAUAAGCAUAGCUUGUUUAAGUAUUGGCAUAUCUGGAUCAUGUAGAGUAAUGUACUCCAUGUUGACAUUCUUCAUACUUGUGGCAUAGUAGAGUAGCAUUUUAAUAUUAUGCUUAUUUACCGCAGUUAAUUUAUGUUAUCCUUAUCUGCUCUCUUUGGGGCUAGUGGUGCAGCUGGUGCAAGUCAGUAAUUGCCCACUGGGAACUAUAAAUUAUAGUUCUCAUGCCCCCCUAUUUUAUUUUUCUUUCAGAGCCUUCCACUCCGGGAGGGGCUCGGAUCGCGGGAAAGGUUUCUCCCUCGAGCUAGCUAUCGAGGAUUUGGCGAUAGGUGGUCCACCUCUCUUUUGCUUCUGUUGGAGAGUUGUGAGAGUUUGUACCUUAUUAUAGAGACCACCCUACUGUUGUAUCUGGAGACUUUAUGAUGUAUUAGUUUCUUUAUGUUCUAGUGGUUUAGUCUCUUUUUCUUUCCUUUUUAUUUCCGCUUGUUGGUAGAACCUAGCUAUAUACUUGCUCUGAUAUCUCUAGUUGUAAGAUUUUCUCUUGCUUUACUCUCCGCUUUUGUGUAGACGCCUUAUAUGUGUGACAUAUGGCGGUCUGGCGCGCGCACGCGGCGGCCUAUGCCGCAUCCCGGGGCGUGACACAAAUUAAUUUGGUAUCCAGAGCCUAGGUUGAGUCUUAUGGACCUAGCAAACCUUAGGCCGGUUGGACUAUAGGAAUUAACUCGUGAGAGACGAGGUCUAUUUGAUUUAUGAGCGAAAGUACAUGAUUGGGUUUCUUUGAUAACUCCAAAAUGUUGGAGUUGAAAUCGAAGUGUAUGGCUUCUAACUCGCGAGGGUUACGUUGGCGGCCGAACAACGUAACAUCAGGAGUUAAUAGUUGGGACACUUCUUUACUUUCGCAUGAUUUGGGGUGUUGUUAUUUGAGGCGGGCUUGCGAUAGCGGGGUUAUAUUAACUUGCGCUUUUAUGAUGUUGUAGUUUGAUGCCGGACUACACGCUCUAAGUCUGUUAGAGCGGACGAUGCGGCGACUUUUGAGGAAGCGGAGACAUCCGCUACCUCCGAUCCGGUGAGGUCUGAGUUGAGGAGCCAACUUUGCCGCCCUCACUGAUUUGGUGAUGCAGCAGGCGGCGGCCGGCUCAGCAGCAAGCGGACACGGCAUCGGACGGCAGGAGGCACGGAUGCAGCGCCCGGAGGAUCUUCUAUUACAGCAGGCAGCUGGCCAGAGAGGCUCAGGUCUCUGUACUACCCGUGCCAGUGGAGACAGUUGUGCCCGGGGGGUCGUCCCCUGCACUCGACACUUCGCAGACGACACUUACGGUAGCCCAUCGGGAGAGGUAUAUGGCACACCACCAGCUCAGGUGCCUUGUGGAAGCGGCGACUUUUCCCUUGAAUGGUUGAAAGAGCAGAGCGGCAGCGGCUCAUGGAUCGCCUCGAUGAGUUCAGAAGGUGCGAUCCCAGGAUCUUUGAUGGAGAGAAAGCGACCACUGAGUCGUUGAGGAAUGGUUGAUGGCAUAUGGAGAAGUUAUUCCGCCGAUACCUUCGGGAGGAGAGAGAUAAGAGUUUGGCUCGCCACUCACACCAUUUGGACAGCGAGGCUAUAGUUGGUGGUGGGUCAUCCAGGAUAAUCCCAACACCGACCUAGCAGCGAUUUCUUUGGAAAGAUUCAAGAGCUCUUAUUGGAGCAUUACUUUCAUCCGCGUGAAGAGAGAAAUGGAGCAGAAUCUGCGCUGAGAAUGUCGGCUCUGGGAAAAUGGAGCAGGAUCUGCGCGAGAUGCGCCAGGGGGAUCAGACUGUGGCCGAGUACGAGAGGGAGUUCUCUCAGCUUCUACACUAUGCGCCCUUUGUCGUGCGGGACGUCGAGGAUAAGGCUCGCAUCUUCGAGCGAGGACUUCGGCCGUCGAUCUUACGGUUGGUGCAACCCUCCCACCUUCAGACUUACCAAGAUGUGGUGAACCGCGCUCUCAUUGUGGAAAGCUGCGCGGCAGACUUGCAGGAGCGUCGAAAAGGCUCGAACAAAGGACAGGACAGGAGGCCCGCGACUGAGGGUGCGAGUCAGACGCACUCUGGGAGGCCGCCGAAACAUUCCAGGAACCGGAGCCAAUCGCGAGGACGUGGCUCAUCAGCACGGCAUAGAGGAUCCGAGCGUCGUCAGACAUUGAGCUGUGUGAUCUGCGGUGGUCAUCAUUACCCGCAGCAGUGCUCUCAGAGGCAGGGCAGGUGCUACUCGUGUGGCCAGGAGGGUCACUUUCAGUCAGACUGUCCGAGAGGUUUAGUAUCAGCGCCAUCUUCAGCAUCGGUACCAGUAUUACCGGAUCCCAGCCAAGGGAUGCCUUUUACUUACUAUCAGGACGGGAGGCCACCCGUCCGGAGACAGACGGAGGGGUCACGACGGGCCCCGGGCGGGCGCAAGUACGCGGCCCAGACGGAGGAGGCGGCAGCAGCUGAGUUUGUGACUACAGGUAUCAGUCUUAUUUGUGGCAUUCGAGUUGUGCAUUGUUGGUUACUGGAGCAUUGCAUCUAUGAUCGGCUAUUCGCCGAGUUGCAUGGCAUUUCGUUAGUUCGCUGUUUGCGACAUUAUGUAGCCCCUCGAGCUAGGCGAUUGAUUUGCGGGUUGCGGGUAGCAUAUUUCGCUAUGGUCGUAGAUCUCACGAGGAUUGCAUUAGUUGUAUCCCUGGCUCGGCUGUUUGCUGGAUGGUGCUUGGAGACGACCGUGCCUGGACCAUUUGGGGACUGUGGAGCCUGGGCCCGUUGGGCAGGCGCAGUCGGCUGUGUGUGUCAGCGGCCCGGUACCUGCGGGUAGGGCAGAGUUUUGGUCAGGAUGGUAGUCCGAGCGUGGACCCUGGAGCGUGGAAAGCCACGCGUUGGAUCGUGAGAUCGAGGACACACUGAGUGUGUAGUUACCCAACCCGAGGAAUGUAAGCAUUGAACCUUUCGGCGCGUGUGGAUGAUCGGUUGAUCGGGUGUGUCGUUUCGAACACCCUACCCUGUGAGAUGGUUCUGUGUGCCAACAAAUAGAUUGGCCUUCCUUGGUGUGGAGUUGUUGUAGGUACCUGGUACCCUUGGAUUGCGAGCUGACUUGACUCGCCUUGAGGACUGUGAGCACGAAAUAGUGCGAUUUGAGGACUCACUUCUGCUUGAUGCGUUGAUUGUCUCCCUUACCUAAAAUUGGGUAAGUGUUGGAGAGGGUUUGGGGCCUGAGUGGCCAUUAGCUUUGGGUGAUUAAGAAUCCUUGAAAUGAAGGAUGCCUUCGAUCCGUCGUUGUGCCCCCGAUCGAAUCACAAUCAUGAGCUCGAUUGGCGGGGUGGUUUUAUAGUUGGUGUUUUGCUUCGUGGAGGAGCACUCUCACUUGUUGUGGGACCGGUUGGGCCGUUUCGACUGUAGGUCGACUCUCAUGAUUCAAAUUGAACCACGAUUGGAGGUUUAGACCGUAGCUGAGGCCCAUUGACCUUGUCAGAUGGCGUUGAGUUGUUGGUGUACUCGUUAAGAUUGUGAGUAAUCUGAGUAGUACUGUUGACGUUGGAGUUUGAGGUCGUACCUCAAAUGGAUUGUGAUGCUAGGUGGGGACAUCACGAGGAUGAUGCUGCCUAAGCCUAUAGUACUCAACCUGUGGAGGGGUUUGCGGAAUGAUAAUCCCAAGCCCUCUGGAUGGAAUUGUGGAACCAGUCGCUGAUGACUAGGGGUAUUUUUAUAGGAUGUAUGAGGUUGGACUGCGUUGGCAGGUUUGGAGUGAUCGAGUUGUGGAACUCUCACUAACGGAUGGAAAGCUCGUGAGAAGGAGGGUACCAAGUUACGAAUUUCCCGUGACAGGAGCGUGUACAAGGAUUUGAGUCCUUCAGGAUUGAACUACGUAUGAGGACUUAUGGGAUUGACUUUGACUUAACAGUCGCAUCAGGAUGACUUUGAUAGAGAGCUGUUACUGAACGGUGGAUUGAUCCAUCUCUAUCGCAAGAAUCGAGUUUGGGGACCUUGGACACUUGGAGCAUCCAAUGCUAGGGAAAGCAUUGAGAUCGGAAAUUUCUAAGUGAUUGUGUUGUGAGCCUUCUGUCGAAGCUAGGCCCUUGGCCUAGGCUUGCGAGAGUUUACUUGGACUUGAGUUGGGACUAAGAUGAUGAUCUUAGUAGACUGAUGAAGCCUUUGAGCUUAGUCCCCGACCAUAUAUUGCAAUGGAAUUGAGGGUACUCCCGAGUGGUGAAUUUGAGAUCGAUGUGGAGACAUCACAGCGCCGUGCCGAUUGAGGAAUCAACUAAUCGCCAUGAUGGGCGAGUUUGGACGAUCUGUCGAUUUCUGUUACUAUUGGAAGAAUGGCUAUCUUGAAUGUUGAAUCGGAACCGUUCGUGCCAAGCAAGAUUGGACAGUGUGACGGACGUUGCUAAUAGAAUGGGAUUGAAAGGUUACACCGUAACUAACCUUGGAUUGGAUUACACUCAGUUAUGUUAUCUCAAGAAGAGACUUGAUCUUAGAUCUGAAGGAUCAUCGUUGGAAUAAGAGCCUACAAGUGGACUGUGCAUCACCUUCCCUUGGUGAGUGUCGAUCGGGUGAGCACUCCGAUGGAGUUGUGGUAGUUCGGUGGCGGAUGUACCCCCUCCCCUGAUGCUUGCUUUGGACAAUACCCUUGAGUCAAGGCACCGCCUUGGGAGGGUAUUCGAUGGAACUUCUGGUACAAGAGUGAUUGAUAUAAGCUAGGUUUUACCCUCGACUGGGACAAGGAAGGUGGAAACUGGAAUUCAGCUUUUGGGAGCACUAGCGUUCAUGAGAGCCGAUUGAAGGACUUGUUGAUCAAGCGCGGAUAAGGGAUGGACCUUGCUGGGGAGGCUGGAGUCCGAGGAACUUCAGAGAGAGUUUGAUUUGAGCUAUGCCAAGUCUUGGCAUCGUGGGGUCUGGUUGUUUUUGCCAUGGAGCUUUCCGGCAUGUUCGAGACCUUCGUUGUCUAGCUUGUACGCUGUUAGAGCGUUUCUCUAUCCUCUUUUGAUGAGUCUGUGUUGUGGUUGAUCCGCAGUUUAGCGGACGAAACUCCUUUUUAGGAGGGGUGAAUGUAACACACUGGACCUUUGCAAAUUGUGAGGUUCGAGUGUCUGAGUUGUGUUCUGAGCAUUUCUAGAUUUUCUGGUAGGUCGUUGACAGUGUUCCGACCCAUUGCUCGCAUCCCGAGAUUUGAGGUAUUUAAAGUAGCCCUAAGGUCAUCAAAAAGUUGGACUUAGGUUGCUCUCGGAUUGCUGUUUUCAGGGCUGUGUACCGGUACAAUCUGAUGGCUGUACCGGUACAGGGUUGAUGGUUGUACCGGUACAGCCACCGGGCUUGUACCGGUACAGAGCCGUUGAACCCCCAACCCGAGCCUCGGGUUCUGAUGUUUCGUAGGGCUUGUACCGGUACAGGGGCCCGUGUACCGGUACAAGGUGGCAGAUUUUGAGCAGUUCGAACUGCAGGGGUGUUUUUGCUAUUGUAGCAUCUCUAUAAUACCACCCACGCACCUUUGCUGAUCUCCUGAGCUGGGAAACACAGGAGGACAAGGUAGGGAGCCCUUCUCUUCUUCCCUUUUGAUUUCCCUCUCUUUUUGCUUGGAUUUUGAUGGUUAUCCCCUCUUUUUGCUUUUGGUGACUUUUCCACCAUGGGAGAAGCUUGGGAGCUUGGAGUUGAGCUUGUUGGAGGUGAGAUCUUCGAUCCUUGGGGAUUGUGAACCUUGUUUGAGGCUUCUUGAGAGGUUAGUUGCUUACUAUUUCCCUUUCUAUCAUGAAUUUCAUGAAUUUUGUUUAGAAACCCUAGAAAUGAGGAUUUAGGGUUUGUUUUGGGGAUUUUUGAUCUAGGGCUUUCGGAGCUCAAUCGAUCGGUUUAGAACCUUCCCUUGGGUUGGUUUGGAAGGGAUCUAGCUUCCACUUGGAGCUUAAAAGGGAUUUUCUACACUUAGGUGAGAUUUUAGCCCUUUUUGCCUUGAUGGUUAAUGUUUGAGUUUCGGGUUGUUCGUUUCGUUUGGGUAACCCUCGUUUUGAUGCUUCUAGGGUACUAGGAGUCUUGUGGGCACCUCCGUUCGGCGAAACGAAGGUUUCGAUUUUGGUGGGUUUGGCCUCACCUAGAUGAGAUAAACUUCUCAUAUGAGGGUUUUUAUUUAUCGUAAAGUGAAAACGCAUGCAUAUUCUUAUUGGAUAGAAUAUUUGAGAAUUUUAGAAUGCUUAAAUUGCACAUGUCAUAUACAAUGCAUAUUUGACCUCUAUAUAGUAGAGAGUCUUCAUGUUGGGCUAGGGGCCUAUGGUUAGCAUUCUUACAUUUGAUUGAGAUCAUGUUGCAUACGGUGCAUAUGGCAUAUAGAUUACACUCUGAGACUUAGAACGCAUGCUUGACAUGGUUGGACAAAUCGACAUUAAGUGACAUAGGCUAGAGUUUAUACAAAUAAUAAGCUAAUGUCAUAAAGCGGCAUUAGGUUUGGACUAGAUAUGGACUUAGCAAUCUAAUGUCAUAAAGCGGCAUUAGGCUUGAUGGAUAUGUAAAUUGCAUGUACAUGUUAUUAUUAUGAGAAUUAUGCCAAGUUGAUAGUUGCAUUGGAUAGAAUAAGCUAACGUCAUAAAGAGACAUAGAAGGUGAAAUGUGCUUAGAUUAUAGCAAGGUUUAAGUGUUAUAAGAAGGCAUAAACAUAGUUGAUGUGAAUCCCUUGGAUUUAACUUAUAAAGUAAUAUCAUUUAUAUCGAAAUAUUGAACGUUAAACUUCUUAAUAAUAAGUAAUAGACUAUUCAGGUUGUAGUGACUUUUUUACAUGUAUGAGACAUGAUGAUGAUAUACUUUAUUGGUUUUUAUUACAUGACUUGUUGCAUUGUGCUUUCGCAUAUGCUUUAGGGUCGUCCUACAAGCCGGCAUCCGGAGUUAGCCGCGAAUAUGCUCGCCGAUGGUGUAUUGAAAGCUACGAGAGUUCGAUGGACAAAAUUCAGUAGAGGAAUGUUGGGCUACCACCAGGCACUUAGGCACAACAAUACCGUGUAGAUCAUGAAUGGAUUUAAACGAUAAUUAAACAACAGGUGAUAAUCACUUUAUAUACAGGUCAUAGUAGUUGAUUCACUACAUGCUAUGUUACUAGGGGACUGAAAGAAUCAUAAGAGAUAAACUUGACGCAUGCUUAUGUCAUCGUAGUGUACUGAUUGCGAGGUAGGAUAGUACAUACUUUAUAUGUAGUUGCUUUGGAAUAUAUUAUACUCUAUAAGUAUUUACUUGUGCAUCAUAGCAUAUGUUUAUGUAUUGAUACUUGGAUCAUGUAGAGUUAGAUGUACUCAAUAUUGAACCAUUAAUAUGUGAUGUUAGAUAGAUGCAUUUUAAUAUUUAUGCUUUAAUUUACGCAGUAUAAUUUAUUUAUCCUUAUUUCCUUCUUUGGGCUAGUGAGUGCAGCUGUGCAGAAGAUAGUAAUUGACCCACGAAAUAUAAAUUAUAGUUUUUAGCCCGCUUAUUUAUUUUUUCUGUUAGAGCUUCCAUCGGGAGAAGAGUCAGGAUCUGAAAGUUUUUCGCCUAUAAUAUGAGGGAUUUUGGAGAUAUGAUGGCAUCCUCAACUUUCUUUGUUUUCUUUGAGAGUUUGUGAGAUUUUGUAUUUUAUUAUAGAACCACCUACUUUUGUAUUGGAGUUAUAAUGUAUUAGUUCUUUUUUCUAUGUUAGUCUAUUUUCUUUCUUUUAUUUCCGCAUUGUGAUAGCACCUAGGUAUAUACGCCUCUGUAAUCUCUGUUGUUAUAUUUUUUGUUUUAUUCUUCGCUUUUGUGUGACCUUAUAUGUUGAAAAUAGCGAUUCUGGGGCACGGCCCUAUGCGGUCCGGGGCAGUGACAAACAUAUAUAUAUUAGUAGUGCUAGAAUCUUUAAAAGUAUAUAAGGGAUAAUACUGUGUGUUGUUAGCAUGUGGAUGGAGGAUGUGAGGUUGAAUAAUGGGUAGUGUGUAUAGUGUGAAGUAUGUUGGAAUAGUGUUUAAUCCAAAGCCUAUAUAAUCAAAAAGAUUUUACAAGUAUUAAUAAUCCCAAAAAGUAGAUUCUAAUGGCUUAAACCAUAAGUAUAGCACCAUGAUGAUGAAUUUAAUAAUAUCAUAGCUCAACUAUAUAUUAUAAUAUCUAUAUAUAUAUAUUAUAUAUAUAUAUAUUGAUAUUAUGUGGAGUCGGGCUGUAUGUUAUGAAGUCAGGAGCUAGUGCUUCAAGUUGUUUUCUCCGAUGUUUCGGACUUUCGAGAUCCGAUCUGGGUGUUUGAGUGUUAGAUAGUAUUUAGUUAAGAAAUAAUUUUUAUUUUUCGAUAUCAUUGCCUAGUGAUCGAAGGGACUCAAAAUCAAUAAUUUUAAUGGCCGUGGUGAGCCGGUUGCAAGUUUAACGGUGUAGAAAUAUCCAAAUCACAUGAAAUUUUGAUAGAAAAUUCUUUAUACCAUAUAAAACAAGAUCAAUAACUUUGAUCUAAAAUUUUAUUGUCAUAUCAACAUAUUUUGUAAGAUUUUUAUUUUCAGCCUUUGAUUUUGAGCCACUUCGAUCACUAGGCAAAUGAUAUCGAAAAAUCGCAAAAUUUAUUUUCUAGAUACUUCAUAUACUCUAGAUCAAGUCUAACGGAGCCGAUCGUCAAUUCGAAAGUCCGAACAUCGAAAACAAAGUAGAAGCACGACGCCCUCCCUGCUUCCAUAAGCAUCCUAGCCGCACUCUAUAUGUGUGUGUGUGUGUGUGUGUGUGUGUGUGUGUACUAAUUGAGUGUACGUACAAAUGCACGUAAUAAUUAUUUUAAUUUAUUUUAAAUCAAUGUAAAUUUGCAAAUUAUAUUUAUUUAAAAAUUUAAAAUUUAUAAAUUCAUAUAUUAUAUUUUAUUAGAAAAUAUUUGUAAUAUUCUAUAUAUAUAUUUUUUAUAUACAUUAAAUAUUUUUAUAUAUUUUUUGAUUUCUCAUGAUCUAAAAUUUAAAUAUGUAUUUUAAACAAAAAGCGUCAAAAUUUAAUUCAUAUUUAUUUCAAAAUUUAAAAUUUAAUUUUGAUCCACGAUAAUUAAAAUUUGUGGAUAAGAAUGUUAUUUUUUAACAGAUUAAUCAUAACCGUUCGUUUUUAUUUGAGGUUUUUUUAAUUAAGUGAACCGAUCAUUUUUAAUUGACACAACCGUCCGUAAGAUUAGAUUUAUAAAUAGAAUGCUAUUUUUUAACAGAUUAAUCAUAACCGUUUGUUCUUAUUUGAGAUUUUUUUUUAAUUAAGUGAUCAUAUCCGUUCGUAGAAAAUAUAUGGAAUAUUCUUUUAUUUCUUUUUGGAUUCCUUUAUAGAUGGAUAAGAACGCUAUUUUUUAACAAAUUAAUCAUAAUCGUUCGUUCUUAUUUGAGAUUUUUUUAAUUAAGUGAUUAUACCCGUUCGUGCCUGUUCGUAGGAAAUAUAGAGAAUAUUUUUUUAUUUCUUUUUGGAUUACGCCUGUCUCGAAAUUUCUAUACGCUUUUAUAUAUAAUAUACUAGUUGAAUGUACAUGCAAAUGUACAUAAUAAUUAUUAUAAUUUAUAUCAAAUCAAUAUAAAUUUGUACAUUAUCUAUAUCCAAAAUUUUACAAUAAAAAUUAUAUUUAUAAAUUAAUAUGUUAUAUUUUAUUAGAAAAUAUUUACAAUAUCCUACCGUAUUCUUUUUUUUAUAUACAUCGAAUAUUUUUAUAUACUUUUUGAUUUUUGAUGAAUCAAAUUUAAAUAUGUGUUUUAAAUUAAAAUUUCAAAAUUUAAUUCACAUUUAGUUUAAAAUUAAAAAAAUUAAUUUUUAAUUCAAACUUGAUAUCAAAAAUUAAAUUUAAUUUCAUAAUUUAAACUCUAAUUUUAAUUUUAAUGUAAAAGAGAUAAAUAAAAAUGCUAUUUUUUAACCAAUUGAUUAUAACCAUUUGUUUCUAUUUGAGAUAUUUUUUAACAAAUUGAUUAUAAUCGUUCGUAGAAUUGAAUUUAUAGUAUAACGCCCCAAUAGUCCCAUUGUCACGCCCCGGAUUACUAGUUCCCCGGGCACGCCGACAAAUCCACCGUAUACAAAGAAAUUUUUCCUGUAUACGUAGCGAUAGCUGUACCUGUAAAACAUACAAUACUACAAACAGUAGUAUAGAGCUGCUAGAAGAACCAGUAAGUAAAAACGAAUCGAGUUUCAUAUACAUACAUUAAAUCCAAAAUACAAAACUACUCGCACUGGCGAGUUAAAUAACAGUAUGUACAUGAACUCCAACAAAACAACUACCUGCUGUCACGCCCCGGAUUACAUGUUUCCCGGGCACGCCGACAAAUCCGCCGUAUACAAAGAAAUUUUUCCUGUAUACGAAGCGACAGUUGUACCUGUAAACAUACAAUACUACAAACAGUAGUAUAGAGCUGCUCGAGUAAACAAAAGCUAAACAAACUGAGCUUCAUAUACAUAGUUUAAAAAUCAAAUACAGAGUUACUCGCACUGGCGAGUUAAGUACUAUGUACAUAAGCUCGAAAUAAAAAAACUACCUGCAGUAGGGUGCCUCUAGCUCUGCUCGGCGGGUAGGGCUCUAACUCGUGACGCCCUUGCCUCGAUCCUGAUCCGCGGAAGGCGCAGCAGCCAAAACCUGUGGCUCUGCAAAACAUGGGUAACAACUGGGCGUGAGAACUACUGUAAAAACAAGUAGUCCUCAGUGGGUGCCGCCCAAAACAACAUCGGUCUGCCCACCAAGUUUACAAAAGGGAGUAAUGGUAAAAGUAAAAUGCUGGAAUGAACUCUACAGCUACUAGUCACUACACCAUCCUGCUCUAUACUAACCCACUGUAGGAAAUGUCAAAACUGACCCAAUUCGAUCGGGACUGUAAACAUACCCGUCCCGGGGACUGUGAAUACAUCCGUCCCUGUCCAGUUGUGACUAUCCAGCUACCUCCACACUAACUGGUCCGUGGAGAGCAAGUCCAACCGGCAUGAGCGACACCAAGGCGAAAGCACAAAGCCCGUCUCCGGAGUGGCACUCGUGUGCGCUACUCAACCGAGUAUGCAGCGUAUCUCUGUCGAGCUGAAACAGGCUCUGAAAAGCCAAAAUCAAGUAACCGACUCUAACUGGUCUAACAACCAACCGUUCACGUGCCCUCGGCACAAUCUGUCGCCAAAAAGGCGAUCCGGGUCCACCGUCAACCUGACGGCACUCAACAGUUCGGAGCAGCCCAAACGACCCUAUAAAAAUUCAUUCGGCAUACCAGUACGAGUGUAAAUGUAUGCUAAACUACCUGGAGUACUCGUCUCGAGGAUACUGCGACAGUACAAUUUUAUAACGGCUCCUAGAGCUAAAUCAGGCANAUGCUAAACUACCUGGAGUACUCGUCUCGAGGAUACUGCGACAGUACAAUUUUAUAACGGCUCCUAGAGCUAAAUCAGGCAGUUUAAACAAGUGACAGUCCAAAUCGCAGGUUUUCUCCUAAUUCCAAUAUCAUGUCCAACAUGUAUAAACUACUCAAUUUAUUACCACAUGCUCCAAAUUCAGAUUUACAAUCUAUAAUAUAAUCCAUGAAUUCGAGCUAGAAUAGAUUAUACCAAAAAUCGAAAUUUAUACAUGUCGACGAUU
rnacentral:lncRNA from 1 species